rnacentral:rRNA from 1 species
UACGGAGGAUCCAAGCGUUAUCCGGAAUCAUUGGGUUUAAAGGGUCCGUAGGCGGCCUUAUAAGUCAGUGGUGAAAUCCCAUCGCUCAACGAUGGAACUGCCAUUGAUACUGUAGGGCUUGAAUUAUUGUGAAGUAACUAGAAUAUGUAGUGUAGCGGUGAAAUGCUUAGAUAUUACAUGGAAUACCAAUUGCGAAGGCAGGUUACUAACAAUUGAUUGACGCUGAUGGACGAAAGCGUGGGGAGCGAACAGG